rnacentral:rRNA from 1 species
UACGGAAGGCAGCAGUGGGGAAUAUUGCACAAUGGGCGCAAGCCUGAUGCAGCCAUGCCGCGUGUAUGAAAAAGGCCUUCGGGUUGUAAAGUACUUUCAGUCGUGAGGAAGGUGUUAAGGUUAAUAACCUUAGCAAUUGACGUUAGCGACAGAAGAAGCACCGGCUAACUCCGUGCCAGCAGCCGCGGUAAUACGGAGGGUGCGAGCGUUAAAUCGGAAUUACUGGGCGUAAAGGGCACGCAGGCGGUUAAUUAAGUUGGAUGUGAAAUCCCCGGGCUUAAACCUGGGAAUGGCAUUCAAGACUGGUUAGCUAGAGUCUUGUAGAGGGGGUAGAAUUCCAUGUGUAGCGGUGAAAUGCGUAGAGAUGUGGAGGAAUACCGGUGGCGAAGGCGGCCCCUGGACAAAGACUGACGCUCAUGUGCGAAAGCGUGGGGAGCAAACAGGGAUUAGAUACC